rnacentral:snRNA from 1 species
GUGCUGACUUCAGCAGCAUAUAUACUAAAAUUGGAAUGACACAGAGAAAACUAGCAUGGCCCCUACACAAGGAUGACAUGCAAAUUAAUGAAGCAUUCCAUAUUAAA